rnacentral:rRNA from 1 species
AGUGAACGCUGCGGUAGGCCUAACACAUGCAAGUCGAACGGCAGCACAGUAAGAGCUUGCUCUUACGGGUGGCGAGUGGCGGACGGGUGAGGAAUACAUCGGAAUCUAUUUUUUCGUGGGGGAUAACGUAGGGAAACUUACGCUAAUACCGCAUACGACCUACGGGUGAAAGCAGGGGAUCUUCGGACCUUGCGCGAUUGAAUGAGCCGAUGUCGGAUUAGCUAGUUGGCGGGGUAAAGGCCCACCAAGGCGACGAUCCGUAGCUGGUCUGAGAGGAUGAUCAGCCACACUGGAACUGAGACACGGUCCAGACUCCUACGGGAGGCAGCAGUGGGGAAUAUUGGACAAUGGGCGCAAGCCUGAUCCAGCCAUACCGCGUGGGUGAAGAAGGCCUUCGGGUUGUAAAGCCCUUUUGUUGGGAAAGAAAAGCAGCAGGUUAAUACCCCGCUGUUCUGACGGUACCCAAAGAAUAAGCACCGGCUAACUUCGUG